CACACGCUCCUUAAGUCCACCUCUAGGGAGUCCUCCAGCUCUGAGUGUCAUAGCUCCAGAGUGGAGGCUCCCAGCAGCUUUUCUGGCUGUACAGUUGGAGGUGCUUGAGUCAUUGGUGUGUGAGAGCAGUCUACCUGCUCCUUCAGCCCAGUCUCUACCCUGGCUCCCAUGGUGGACUUCACCAGGGUAGAUGAGCUGGAGGGCGGACAAG